GUUCUCUUCAGCAGCACAUAUACUAAAAUUGGAAUGAUACAGAGAAGAUUAGCAUGGCCCCUGUACAAGGAUGACAGGCAAAAAGGUUGAUGUUGUUUAAUUGAUU
ensembl:snRNA U6 U6 spliceosomal RNA